GGAUGUGGAAAGCAGAUGUUUCGGCCGUGGUAUUUCUUGGAGAAACCUGGCAAGAGAACGUCUUCUGUGAAGAGGAGUCCUGAGAAACACUGUGUAUUUUGCAGUGGUUGAGGACAACCUUGCAGAGAGACAUACAGAGAUCCUCCAUCUGCUGGUUCAGUCCUCAAAUGCCUGCAUCAGCUGAGACUGGACCAUGCUGAAGUCAGGAGCCUGGAGCUCCAUUUCAGUCUCUUUUGGGGGUGGCAGAGACUCGGUUAGUUGAGCCAUCACCUGCUGUCUCCAAAGUGUGCACAUUAGCAGGAGGCUGAAUCAGAAGCAGAGCCAGGACUUAAAUCAGGCACUCCAAUAUGGGAUGCAGGUGUCCCAAAUGAAGACUUAACUGCGCACCAAAUGCCCAGUGCUAUUUUUACAUUUAAAGGAAUUUAUAAAAACUAUAUUCCUGAAUAUGUUUGAAUAACCAAAGAAAAGCCAGAGAAAUGGAAAACAUGAAGAAAUCCAGGAGAGGGAACACAAUUUAGGAAAGAAGUUUAUUAUCCUCUCAUGGUGUGUCACUGUGGCUUGUCAGAACUCAGAGUGGGGGUAGGACGAACAGAGAAUGAGAGAAAAACAGAGAAGGACCCUAGGGGAGGGCAGAUAGGCUAAGAGUCUUGCAGACUGGCCUUAUUGAAAGUUUUCUUUGGAAGUAAAUGGCUUGGCACUAUCCAGGCCAUGAGACCUUCUAAACCCAAAUGGAAAAAAUUAGAGUUUCCCUCUUCAUCAAGCAGAAUUGUUUACCAAUCUAAGGUAAACAAGAGUUGAGAGUGAAAAACCAAAGCUAUUUACUCAGAUUAGUCAUUGGGUGGUCCUGGAUGUCCCAGUGGAGUGAAUGGUGAAUCCAUAUUCCCAAGUCUGAAGACAACAUUCAAAAUUUCCUCUCUGUAUUUUUCUAGGAGAUAAUGUGUUGGCAAAUGGCUCCAAAAAUUGAACUCUGUUCCCUUCCCAUGUAAAGGCCAAUGAACAAGGAGAGAAAAACAAACAACUGGAAGAUACCUGCUCUGUUCCUGUGGGAAAUUUAGUGACCUCACCUACAGAAACGAUUUGUGAACUAAGUGAUUUAGAAGACUCCUUUCAGCAAUAAAAUUUGGCACUUA